ensembl:lncRNA
UAUAUCAGGUGAGGGGAAGCUUGAUUGCUGAUCAGGAACAGGUGGGGCGAAUGAUGAACUCAGGGGUAGAUCUGCGAAAAGUGACAGGAGGGAGACAAAAACACCACAAAACAGAACCAAACAAGACAUGCCUACAAACAUACAGCAUGCAUAAACCCCAGACGUAACAGUGUAUGACUGGUAUUGUAUAGAGGCAUGUCUUAUAUUGCUCAUAUAUAUGUAAGAAGGUGUACUUUUUUCAAAUCACUAAUGAGCCAUUUACUUGAUAAUGAUUUGACAGAAUCAAAACAAGUUUCCUCUGCCCAAACUGCGGGCCUAACCAUUCGGCCAACCAAGCAAACGAUUCACCCCAGUUCCGUGCCCCCACAACCGUCCUGCACAAACCAGAUUCAGUCCAGUUACAUGACCCUUUGAACCCUACACACACAACAGGAAUUUCAAAGAAACUGUUAGCAAUCAGUAUGCAGAAAGACUGAGAAACUCAAGAAGUGAAUGAAGAGCAUCAACAACCACAUGCUUAACCUCCGGGCAAGAGAGAAUUGCAAAGUGGACCUUGAUCCUGAACCAUGUUUGAGAUGUCCAUAUACAUGAGGAUCCUCUCUACCCCAAGUGCGAGCAUUCGAUCCGCAAGACAAAUGACCAGAGUAAAUGGCUCCAAGUUGGUAUUUCACCAAUAUACAGGUUAAAUGUAAAAAAAGACUACACAGUUAUUUACCUGAGGACAUUGUUGUAAUAUGCUGAACUGUAUGGUUAAUGGUUUUCCAAUAUAAUAUUUUCUUAUGUCUGCAGCAACUCCCAACUUUCUACAAGUUUUUAUGUUGCUGACAUGAUUGAACUUAUUUUGUCUUUCCCAACCUUACGCCAUACACGAGGCACUGUUUGAGAUCCCUGUCACAGAUGACCGUACAUCACAGUAUGAGAAGCCUGACAAGGAGGCGGUCAUCGGUAGCCUUGAAGGUUCAAAAGGGGGGCCGUUUAAAACCAACGUAUAGUGGCCUUCCUCAUUAGAAAACUCUGAGCGGAUGCGCAAGACCACACAAGCUGGAAUAACCCGGAUUCUGCGUCCCAGCACCAACUCGCAAAUGAACGAUAGGAGAGAUACCUGUAGCGACUGAACAAUUGAUUCAGUGGAUUUAGUCUUGCAGAGAUUUAUCAAUGCAUUGU